GUGACAUGAUGAUUUCUUAGACUAGAGUCUCUGACUUAACCGUGAAGAUCUUUCACAGUGCACUGACAC